rnacentral:rRNA from 1 species
GAUGAACGCUGGCGGCGUGCAUAACACAUUCAAGUCGAACGGACUUAAUUGCUUCGGUAAUUAAGUUAGUGGCGGACGGGUGAGUAACGCGUGAGUAACCUGCCUAUAUGAGUGGAGUAACACAGGGAAACUUAUGCUAAUACCGGAUAUUAUGGUUUUUUCGCAUGGAGGAAUCAUGAAAGCUAGAUGCGCUAAGAGAGAGCUUUGCGUCCCAUUAGCUAGUUGGUGAGGUAACGGCCCACCAAGGCAAUGAUGGGUAGCCGGCCUGAGAGGGUGAACGGCCACAAGGGGACUGAGACACGGCCCUU